rnacentral:rRNA from 1 species
GACGAACGCUGGCGGCGUGCUUAACACAUGCAAGUCGAACGAUGAAGAAAAGACUUGAAGCUUCGGCAGAAAUUCAUUUCGGAUUAGUGGCAGACGGGUGAGUAACGCGUGAGCAACCUACCUCUUACAAAGGGAUAGCCUCGGGAAACCGGGAUUAAUACCAUAUAACAUUGCGACGAAGCAUUUCGAUGCAAUCAAAGCUACGGCGGGAAGAGAUGGGCUCGCGUCCCAUUAACCAGAUGGUGAGGUAACGGCUCACCAUAGUAACGAUGGGUAACCGGCCUGAGAGGGUGAACGGUCACACUGGAACUGAGACACGGUCCAGACUCCUACGGGAGGCAGCAGUGGGGAAUAUUGCACAAUGGAGGGAACUCUGAUGCAGCGACGCCGCGUGAGUGAUGAAGGAAUUCGUUUCGUAAAACUCUGUUCUAUGGGAAGAAAAGGACUGUACCAUAGGAGAAAGCUCCGGCUAAAUACGUG